rnacentral:lncRNA from 1 species
AAAUAUAAAAUUAUAGUUUCACAUUUAAUUAAUAAAAAUUCAAGAUUCCGCAUAUGGUUACUUGUCAAAAAGGUUGACGUAAAAACUACUAGAGAAUUGAAAAACGUCAACUUUUUUGACAAAAAAAACCGUAGGCGGACAUUUGAAUUUUUAUUAAUUAAAUGCGAAACUGCAAUAUUAUUUUUAUUAAAUUUAUUCACCAAAAUCAAAAUCAACUAAACCCCAAAAAAAUAGUACUGAAUAGAACUGAAUAUGUAUUUUGAAUAUCUUUCAAACGAGGUAUCACUUGCCAUAAGGUUCCCAUUUAAAAUUAUCUGUCACAGUGGCGCUGUAAAGUCAUCUGUCACUAUUACGUCACCUGUAAUGACUAGUUAAGAAGCUUACGUCUCCGUUUAUUUCCUCCCUCCAAAUUUCACUAUUAUAGGUAUAACCGUUCAAAAGAUACGAGGGGGGUACGGACUUUUGACUAGCACUGUAUAAGAAAUAACUAUGUAGUAACAUAUUUCAGCCAAAAUAAUAUCAGUAGACUUGAGACAUCAGUAAUGAGUAAGUGCCGACAGAAUAAGAGUGAUGGUGAGUUAUUCGUUUUUGUUUGAGUUGAAAAAAAAUUGCACAUUUUCAUAACAUUCAUAUGUACAUUAUUUGUACAUAUUUUUAAUCCGGUCGUAAUUGUUGUGAAUAUACGAAAUUUUUUGACAACUAUAUAAAAUAUUUACAAAAAAACUAAUUUUACUGUAACUUUAGUUACAAAGUAGCAACAGCGUAGAAGAUAAAUGCAAAAGUGGAAAUAUCUACUUAUUGCACAUUUUAUAUCUUCUAUCUCAGUUUUUGAUGAUUUAUUCUGUACAGGAACAUGUUGAGUGCCAGAGCUAAUUUGUAAGUAUUAAAAUACAAGAAAUUUCCUUAAAGUGCAACGCAUUUAACAUAUAAAGAUAAAAAUGAACAAAUUACAAAGAAAUCAUUAGUUUUUUAUUACUUGAAACUAGAAUUAUAUAGAUACAAGGAGCUCUCUUUAGUUUAUACGCUGCUGGAAAUAUUAGAAAAGUUUAUAUUCACUCACAAAAACUAAUGAUAACAAUAGAUAUAAGUUAAAUAAAUGACUAUAUAUUCAGCAUAAUCUAAAUUAAUAUGAAAGACUGAUGAGUGUAAAAGCAGAGACUCAAUUUUCAACAUAAUUGUUAUAAUGUCCGGACAAAUAAUCCCCGGACAAAUAAUCCCA